rnacentral:rRNA from 1 species
GAUGAACGCUGGCGGCGUGCCUAAUACAUGCAAGUCGAGCGAACAGACGAGGAGCUUGCUCCUCUGACGUUAGCGGCGGACGGGUGAGUAACACGUGGAUAACCUACCUAUAAGACUGGGAUAACUUCGGGAAACCGGAGCUAAUACCGGAUAAUAUAUUGAACCGCAUGGUUCAAUAGUGAAAGACGGUUUUGCUGUCACUUAUAGAUGGAUCCGCGCCGCAUUAGCUAGUUGGUAAGGUAACGGCUUACCAAGGCGACGAUGCGUAGCCGACCUGAGAGGGGGAUCGGCCACACUGGAACUGAGACACGGCCCAGACUCCUACGGGAGGCAGCAGUAGGGAAUCUUCCGCAAUGGGCGAAAGCCUGACGGAGCAACGCCGCGUGAGUGAUGAAGGUCUUCGGAUCGUAAAACUCUGUUAUUAGGGAAGAACAAAUGUGUAAGUAACUAUGCACGUCUUGACGGUACCUAAUCAGAAAGCCACGGCUAACUACGUG